CUUGUACACACCGCCCGUCACACCAUGGGAGCGGGUUCUGCCAGAAGUAGUUAGCCUAACCGCAAGGAGGGCGAUUACCACGGCAGGGUUCGUGACGUGGGGUGAAGUCGUAACAACGGUACC
rnacentral:rRNA from 1 species